rnacentral:rRNA from 1 species
AGUGAACGCUGGCGGCAGGCCUAACACAUGCAAGUCGAACGGAAGAAGAGAGAGUGCUUGCGGAUACGGGGGGGGAGGGGGGGGGGGGUGCGGGAAAUAUGGGAGUUUGCGGUUGAGAGGGGGCGAACACAGGGGCAAAUACGCCAAACGCCCAGAGGGCGAACGGGGGAAAGCAGGGGAUCUCAGGACAUCAGGUGAGUGUAUGAGGCGAUGUCGGAUUAGCUAGUUGGCGGGGUAAAGGCCCACCAAGGCGACGAUCCGUAGCUGGUCUGAGAGGAUGAUCAGCCACACUGGAACUGAGACACGGUCCAGACUCCUACGGGAGGCAGCAGUGGGGAAUAUUGGACAAUGGGCGCAAGCCUGAUCCAGCCAUACCGCGUGGGUGAAGAAGGCCUUCGGGUUGUAAAGCCCUUUUGGUUGGAAAGAAAAGCAGCAGGUUAAUACCCCGCUGUUCUGACGUUACCCAAAGAAUAAGCACCGGCUAACUUCGUG